GUUCUCACAAUAUCUUGGUUAUAUCUUAGAGUAUAUUUUAACAAAAUCGUCUGUUUUUCCAUUUCUUUCACAAUUACAGGAAACAGACUUUUGACAGGGGGCGCGAAAUCUGGUGCGCAUAUAUUGUACAACUCGUUUCAGGACUUAUUUCUCCGGAAAAUCUCAUGAUAAAUAUAUCCGACAAGAUUGCCCUCGCAGUGGCGGA
rnacentral:lncRNA from 1 species